GACCAGGAGGUAAGAAAAAAUAUAAGCUAAAACAUGUAGUAUGGGCAAGCAGAGAGCUGGAAAGAUUUGCAUGUAAUCCUGGGC
rfam:HIV-1 isolate T14788 from Cameroon gag protein (gag) gene, complete cds; pol protein (pol) gene, partial cds; and vif protein (vif), vpr protein (vpr), truncated tat protein (tat), rev protein (rev), vpu protein (vpu), envelope glycoprotein (env), an